GCAGCUCCCGGAAGCGGCCGGCGACGGGCCGCGCCGAGGGUCAGAAAGCAUCGGACGCGACGGCGGGUGCCGGGCUGGGCUGGGGGUGUCGCGAUGGAGGACGACGCGCCGGUGAUUUACGGGCUGGAGUUCCAGGCACGAGCUUUAACGCCUCAGACAGCAGAAACAGACGCAAUAAGAUUUUUGGUUGGAACACAGUCUCUUAGAUAUGAUAAUCAGAUUCACAUCAUAGAUUUUGAUGAUGAAAAUAACAUUAUAAACAAAAAUGUUCUCCUUCAUCAAGUGGGUGAAAUUUGGCACAUUAGUACAAGUCCUGCUGAUAAAGGUAUACUUGCAACCUGCUACAAUAAAACUUCAGACACUAAAGUCAUGACAUGUGCUGCUGUUUGGAGGAUGCCGAAGGAAUUGGAAUCAGGCAGUCAUGAAUCCCCUGAUGAUUCAUCAAGCAACACUCAAACCCUGGAGCUACUCUGUCACCUUGACAACACAGCCCAUGGCAAUAUGGCCUGUGUUAUGUGGGAGCCGAUGGGAGAUGGUAAAAAGAUUAUUUCACUGGCUGAUAACAACAUAUUAUUGUGGGAUUUGCAGGAAAGUUCAACCAAAGCUGUGCUCUCUAGUUCCACAGCCUUAGAAGGCAAAGGACAAUUAAAAUUUACUUCAGGAAGAUGGAGUCCACACCACAAUUGUACCCAGAUUGCCACAGCCAAUGAUACCACUGUCCGAGGCUGGGAUACACGGAGCAUGAGGCAGAUAUAUUGUAUAGAAAAUGCACACGGACAGCUGGUACGGGACCUGGACUUUAAUCCAAAUAAACAGUACUACCUGGCUAGCUGUGGAGAUGACUGCAAGGUGAAAUUCUGGGACACAAGAAAUGUCACUGAACCAGUGAAGACACUAGAGGAGCAUUCCCACUGGGUCUGGAAUGUCAGAUACAAUCAUUCUCAUGAUCAGCUGAUCCUUACAGGAAGCAGUGAUAGCAGAGUUAUCCUGUCUAAUAUGGUAUCAAUUUCUUCUGAACCAUUUGGCCAUAUGGUAGAUGAUGAUGAACUCAGUGACCAAGAGGACCAGCAUCAAGAAGACAACAAGGAGAAGAUGCAACUCCAGAGUAUGCUUCUUUCCAACUAUUUGAAGACAAAGAUGAAUUAUCAGUUUAAGCUGGCCCUGCUGUCAGAAGAAACAGUCUUGGAGUCCUCCUUCUUCAUGUGUUCAUUGUGAAGUGUGAGAUGCACCAUGUGGUCUCUGGUUCUCUGGCUGGUUUUCAAGAAGUCUUGCUAAGAGCACUCCCUGCCCUUUCUAAAGGAAUGAGGAGCAGACAUUUUCCUCUGCUUGGAGGUGUUUUUUUUUCAAGAGUGAAAAGUAUUCCAAUUACAGAGCCCCAUGCCACCCCAGUCCUUCAGCUUCUGAACUCACCAAAACCUACACGUGGUGCUCUAUGCAGCUGAAGGGAUAAUGCAGGUACAGCUUUUGUGAGUAUCCCUUUAAGAGGGUGGUAAUUGCUUCAUGGCAGCUUCUGUGGUGUCAGCAUUGUCUUCAGUUGGCAUGGGAACACAACCAGAACCUCUUGAAUGUUUUUCAGAAAUAAUUGGUUUGAGAUGAAAAAUCUUGGAUUUUCAAACACACUGCAUGCUUUCUCUGUUUUUGCCUUCAGAAAUGACCAAUAGCCUUGAAUCUUAAAUACUUCCCUGAUUAAAGCUUCACGUAAACAGACACGUUGUCUGCAAAAUUUUUGGCUCUGACAAAGCAGCAUAUUUUGAUGAGACUUCAUUUAAUGAAAAUGUUCUGACCAGCUCCAGAUGCAUACUUUAGAUAUGCAUAGAUGGGUUCAAUUGCCUAGAAAGAACCACCUAGUAGACAGAGAGGGUUUGCCAAAAGCAAUUAUAUUUUAUCUCAGUUUGGUUUCACACUAUUUGUGACUAUUCAAGAUCAUGCUUUGGUAAAACAAACAGAUGUGGUCCAAACUGCGGCAAGAAGCUAAACUGUAAAAGACAAAUACAUCUAUAUGUUGUGUUACAGUAAAAAUUAAUAUUGUGCCUCUAGAGAAUUCCAUCCACAUUUGUAGCAAAUAAAAAGAGAAAGGAUUAUAGGAUAUUAUAUUCUGAGGAGCAAUGUGACCAGUGAGGCAGAACUUGAUCCACAAUUGCCAAGUUACAACCCGAUAAUACACCAUCAAUUCUGAACGAUACCGAUCGGGGAUGGUGCUUCAUAAUCUAAGCAAUUGCUUCAAACAGUUCCACAAAGUUCCAAGAUCUACUGUACUGAAGGCAGCAGAAAGAUCCAUCAGCAGGAGUACUGUAAUUUAACUUGAAUCAGCAGCUGGUGAUAAAUCAUUUGUGACCUUAAGUAAAGCAAUCCUAGGACAGUGGUACUCCCUGGAGCCAGACUGAAAACUCUCAUAUAAUCUAUUCCCAGAUAAAAUUCCUGGUAGUAAAAGGGCAACCACUUGCUUCAUCUUUCUUUUCCUCACAUCCCAAAAAAGAGUGCUUGUCCAGUUGUCAUUAGGUAGAACAGAAAUCUGCGGUGUGAGAGAGAGGAAGCUUUCCCUACUAACAAAGAGCAGCUGCAAAUUUCAGCAGCUCAGGACUUGCAGAAAGCAAAGAGUCAUUAACCAUGUUAGCUAUAAAUGAAGCAAAGCACUGAAAGACUGUCCGCAAGCAGCCAUAUGGGCCAAGAGUCAAACCCAGGAGUAAUGGAGCAUGAUUGCUUUCCCAACUGUGUGAUCUCAGCAAGAAGCAAAUACAAAUGUAUAACACUUGCAGAUACAGGCACUGGGAGCAUAAUUGCCAGCCCUAGUGCUGAACAGUCGCAGCUGAUUAGCAAUUCACUCUGUACUUGCUGAAUUCCUCACAGGAGGCUGCUGAAGGAUUGUGCACGAGGAGUGAUUUGUGGGGCAAAAUGUGAUCAAUAGCACAAAAUGAGGCUUUAGGUCUGUUUUUUCUCAUUAAUAACAGAACAAGAAAAAGUAGAUCUGGCUGCAAUGCAAUGCAAUGCAAUGUGCCAAGAGUGCAACAGCUUGGUGCAUCAGGAGACUAAUUUCUGGACUAAACAGUUACUGAAAUAAUUCCAUGAGCUGCUGCUUUCGCCUUAGUCAAGUUCUGUGAUCACAAAAGCAGGUAAAGUAAGCACAGAAAACACAGAAUAAAUCAGGAGCUUCAGAGACUUAUUUGGUUUUUAAAUGAAAGGAAACAGCAAAAAUUUAAAAAUCAUGGUUUGCACAAGGCAGAUUUUAUGCAAGUAAUAAAAUAAAUGUUGGCUCUCUCAUUUAUCCUGAUUAUCUUUGAAGACUUUGGUGUAUUGCUCAGAACACAGCAUAAUCCUAGGAGAGGUAAAUAUGAGACAUUUGCAAAUUACAGGACAAAUUAUACAUUUUGAUCACUAUCAAACCUCUACAGAGAUCCAUACAGGACUAACUAGACCCUGCCUUUAAUGCAGGUCAUCUUCUAGAAGAAUCAUUAUGAUACACUUUUUCUAGCUGGUUAUCAAAAUAUUUGCAGUAGCUCACACUUAGACUAAUUGUUGAAGCAAAAAACUGCCCACUUCUCAUGAUAAAUAUUGUGGAAUCACAGCAAAGAAACAGAGAAUAAAAGAAAAUACCACAACUCCUUAAGAAUCACCAAUCUUACACAGACUACAUCUCAACUGUAACUUUUAAUGAUCUGGGCCUGGGACUCCAUUAGUGUUUAAUAAAUAAUGAUGAUUAUUCCCUACCUGCACAAUGCACACAAAACUCCCAUUGAUGUUGAUGUGAGUUCCUGGCACAGACUGAUGGCAGGAUACUCCUGUGACAGAGAUGAAUUUUCCAUUAGAACAAAAUGAGUAAGACCUGUCUCAGUCAGCAGAAUUUUUGGCAACAGCAGAAUUCCUCAGGGGCUCAGUGAAAGAUGCCCAUCCUGGGUGGUUGAAAGUAAAUUGGGUGAGAAGCACUGAGCCAGGCUUGGACAGCCACAAAACCAAUUUGGGCUGAGGUAAAAUUGCCCUGAUGUAAAAAAUAUACUUAUAACAUGUAAUUAGAUCCAUAUUUCAUUUGUAUAAUGUGGAAAUCUUUGCUUUCUUUCUUAUCACACCACAAGGGAAAUUGGUAUUUUCUUUUCUAUGAAGGCAAAGGAUAAAAUUAAUAUUAGGGGAGGAAGAGGAUGCAGAUGUAUUGAACAAAAUUUUGAAAACCAGCUUUUAUUUAAAGUAAAUCAAGGAAAAAUUAAAUGUUGCUUUGGUAAACCAGAGGAGACCAUUACCCACACAGAAAUUUGGACCAUAAGUCUGACCAUUCAGUUGCAUUUUCUUUGAAGAUUUUGUAAAAAAUGCAGAGAUGAGGAAUUUAUUUCAAACUAGCAGUGUAUGAGACAGGGAGACAGCUAAGCACAACAGGGACAUGGAGACAAAGGUCUUACAGUGUGGUCUUGAGAAAAAGAAAUGAGAAAGGGAAGAUCUUGGCAAAGGGUUGGUUCAAAAGACCUGGAUCUGUAAGUCAAGAAAAAGCCUCUGCUAUUUUGGUAUUAAUUUUGUUGUGGAAUAGGCAUAGAUUUUCUGUAAAUAAUGACUAGUGCCCAAUUUUAUUAUCAGCUGUUUAUCUUGGACAUCUGCAUAUUUUACUUGACCAUUUGAGUAAAAAGAAGUAACACUUUCUACCAGUUUCUAAAGUGAACAGUGAAGAAAAAAUGGGAAAUUGGAAAUAUAAGAGACCAUAAAUAACUCAAUUGCCUUUUUGAAGGAUAUUAAAUAGUAAUAAUAAUAAUAAUGAUAAUAGACUGUUGCUAAGUGAGCAAAUAUAUUUUCAGGAGGAAAAGCAUAAUUAUUAGAACAUAUGCCUUAGCAAAUCAGGUGGAAAGGAUUAAUCUGGCAAGGGGAAUACCUAUACUCCAGUCUUUACAUUAUGCUAAUGAUUCCAACAACAACAACAAAAAAAUCACAGCUUAGAAUAGGCAGUUAAAAGAGCACAGGAAACCAUCAUCUACUUGAGCAAAAAAUUAAAACUGAAAAUUGUUAAAAGCAGGAAGGUUGGCAAUUUUUGUCAGUGAUAUAUUUUUAUUUUUAUAUUUUUGUUGGUGAAAUAAAUAUAUCAGAAAGAUUUCAUGUUUUCUACAUUACAGCAUUAUGUACAGGUAAUGCACAACAUAGGGUCAGGAUUAUUGACAGUUCUAAUACAUAUAUUAUUUUAUAAGAAUAAUUUUUGGAUAUGUAGAGCUGAGAUAGCUGUUUAGUAAGUGUGCAUAUAUAAAAUGUAAAACUGACAGUUCAUGUCUCAUUAAAAUGGUGCAAAUUAGGUACCCAAAACCUAGACUGUCAUUUCAAAGCUCUAGUUCAGAUUUUUGUGGGUGCCACUAGAAAGCUGUGCUUUUUAUUUAAUAAUAUUUUCAGGUUUUAUUGCUCUAAAAAGUGAUCCCAGCAAUUUGUCUUGCUCUCAUUACAGCUCUUACAUGGCCUAGUGCAAGGAAUGUAAAUAUUUCUUGAGCUACUUAGUGGUGCAAAUGGAAAUGUGAAAAUAUUUAUUGCUGAAACAAAAGUACAAUCUCUAUUGCUUAAUUAUGAUAAUCUAGGGAAAUUGUUCUUGCAUAAUUCCAUACAAAGUAGUAAGAGAAAAAAUAGCUAGCUGUUCUUUUCUAUUGCUUGCCCUUAAUAGGUCCAGGUAAGAUUCUAUAAACUUGUAUUUUCAUGUCAAAUUUCUUGCUUAAGCUGUAUUUUGGAAAAAGUGUAGUACUUUAAAAUGCAAUCACUAUUGCUUGUGCUGGGAGAAGCACUGCUGAAGUUCUGAGAGACUUACAGAUUUUAGUGUAAUGUCAUUUAAACUAAUCUCUGAAAUGGUAAGGCUUUCUACUUAUGUAUUUCUGCUUUUCAUUUUUUUUACUUUAGGGUUAUAAAUCUGUUUUUUAGAUACUAGAAAGUUUUGAACAGAACCUAAGUUACCUCUAGUCUUUCUGGCUGUGAAGAUAUCUUCUUAAUAGAAAUAAUUACUGCAACUAAGUUUAUAGGGUAUGCAACCUUCGGAGCUGUGGAAGUCAUAGUGUUUUGUGUAAAUAGGUAUAGAUUAAGUUUGCUUAAUGUGAAAUUUUGAAAUGUGUGCAUUUGAUUUCAAUUCCAGGUCUGGAACAACCAACUAGAGAAAAUAAUUAUUAUGGCCUAUAGAAUUUGCAAGGUGUUUCACUAGGUUUACCUGGCAGGAGGACAGCCAACUCUAAGGCUUCAAAGGACUUCCUGGGUAAAACAGCUACACUUAAAGCAUAGCAAAAACAUAUGUGGCUUGGUUUUCCAUGGUGCUCUGUUCGGUUUUGCCUUGUUGGAUAUCUUUGCUGUGGCUGGACUACUCUUGAGAGCUCCUGAGAGUCAAACAGAGACUGCUUUGGUGUCCAAACAACACCUGAGCUCCUGCCAGUCCCUGCUGUGGGGACACAGACUUGUGUCUCUGUUCUCCACCUGGCUGUGUUCUUCUGUGAUGUUUGGAGGACUUUACAUCCUCGAUACCUCUAAUGUGUAGAGGUGGCUUAAGCAAACAACACAAUUCACAGGUACUGAGGGGAGGUGGAACUAAGACAUACAAACCAGAUAAAUGUUAUUUCCUUAGAAAGAUGGAACACAAAUAUGGAGGAGCAGCUGGGGCAGCUGGGAUUCCUUAGCCUGGAGAAAAGGAAGCUCAGCAGGGACCCUUUCUGUCACUCCCCAACUACCUGAAAGGUGGCCUUAGCAAGGUAAGGUUUGGUCUCCUUUCCCAGGUAACAGAACAAGGGGAAAGGGCUUCAAAUUGCACCAGGAGAGAUAAAUCUCCCUGUUGGAUAUUGGAAUUUUUUUUCACUGAAAGUGUUGUUAAGUACCAAAACAGUCUGCCCAGGGAAGUGGAGGAGACACAGACCCCAGAGACAUUUAAAAGACUUGUAGAUGUGACAUGUAAGGACAUGGUUUAAUUGUGGGUUUGGCAGUGCUGGGUUAAUGGUUGGACUCGAUGAUCUUAAAGCAUUUUUCCAACCGAAAUUAUUCUGUGAUUUUAAAACCAGUUGAAUCAAGUACUUUUUCAUUUCCAAACAGAAAUUCUAAGUAUGAGCACCAAAAGGAAAACUAAUACUCCCUCUGCCCAGCUUAAUCUCUAUCCUGAUGCUGUAUCACAGUCACUUCAAGACAGGUUGAAAUUAAGAGAGACCUUUCUCUUGCCCCUGCUGCUUUCCUUGCCUUGGGUCUACAGAGUUUUCUUUUGGAGUUUGUUCCCAGAACAGCCCAUAACCACACUGCAGACUAAGAAUGAGCUGAUGAUGGCUUUUUGCUCUACAAGCUAUUUUACUUUGUUUAAAAAAUGUCUUCUUUUAUUUCUGUAAUUACUCUGGUGAUGGAAGUGAGAGUCUGGGACAAAAAUGUGCCAGUUUCAGUGCUGUGUGAACACUGAAUGAACACAGAAUUCACUGGCUGCAGACAACUGAUAGUCCCUCUCCCCAAGUCCUCACCCCCUCCUCCAGAGUGGGCGAGCAGAUUUUGGUGAAUUUGAUGCAAAAUACAGCCUAAGUACAGCCUUUCCCCACAUCUCUGAGUAGUGCAUUUUAUCCCGGUGAAAGGUGUGCUGCUUCAAUGUGUUGCCACCUGAGGAUGAUCUCAGGCAGAAUUUAGUUCUACCACAGCUCUGUGUAUGUGAUUUGGAUAUUAUUUGAAUGUAAAACUACAGUACUGUACCAUUGUUAUAUUUUUACCUCAAGACAACUAGCGUGGAUUCAUUACAUGAGGUAAAAACCAGAGCUUUUGCAGUGAAGGCAAGUUCAGAGUUGAGUGACCUUUCAUGUUUUGUUUGCCCAGAAAGUUUGUAUCAUCCCAGAACAGUUUUGUUUUCCACCUGAUGUGCUAUGCUGGAGAAAAGAGAAAGGUAAAUCAACUUUGCUCUUGUUUUUGUUCUUUUUUUUUAUGCUGAAUAAAAGACCUAAGCUCUG